rnacentral:rRNA from 1 species
GACGAACGCUGGCGGCGCGCCUAACACAUGCAAGUCGAGCGAGCGAGAGGAGGUUUACUUUCUCAAGCGAGUGGCGAACGGGUGAGUAACGCGUGAGGAACCUGCCUCAAAGAGGGGGACAACAGUUGGAAACGACUGCUAAUACCGCAUAAGCCCACGACCCGGCAUCGGGUAGAGGGAAAAGGAGCAAUCCGCUUUGAGAUGGCCUCGCGUCCGAUUAGCUAGUUGGUGAGGUAAUGGCCCACCAAGGCGACGAUCGGUAGCCGGACUGAGAGGUUGAACGGCCACAUUGGGACUGAGACACGGCCCAGACUCCUACGGGAGGCAGCAGUGGGGAAUAUUGCACAAUGGGGGAAACCCUGAUGCAGCGACGCCGCGUGGAGGAAGAAGGUCUUCGGAUUGUAAACUCCUGUUGUUGAGGAAGAUAAUGACGGUACUCAACAAGGAAGUGACGGCUAACUACGUG